GAUGAACGCUAGCGGCAGGCUUAAUACAUGCAAGUCGAGGGGUAGCAAGAUUGUAGCAAUACAAUUGUUGACGACCGGCAAACGGGUGCGGAACACGUACACAACCUUCCUACAAGUGGGGAAUAGCCCAGAGAAAUUUGGAUUAAUACCCCGUAACAUAGCGAUGUGGCAUCACAUUGCUAUUAUAGCUUCGGCGCUUGUUGAUGGGUGUGCGGCUGAUUAGAUAGUUGGCGGUGUAACGGCCCACCAAGUCUACGAUCAGUAGCUGAUGUGAGAGCAUGAUCAGCCACACGGGCACUGAGACACGGGCCCGACUCCUACGGGAGGCAGCAGUAAGGAAUAUUGGACAAUGGACGCAAGUCUGAUCCAGCCAUGCCGCGUGAAGGAUUAAGGUCCUCUGGAUUGUAAACUUCUUUUAUAAGGGACGAAAAAAGGUCUUUCUAGAUCGUCUGACGGUACCUUAUGAAUAAGCACCGGCUAACUCCGUGCCAGCCGCCGCUGUAACAC
rnacentral:rRNA from 1 species